ACGUAGGUGGCAAGCGUUGUCCGGAUUUAUUGGGCGUAAAGCGCGCGCAGGCGGCUAUGUAAGUCUGGUGUUAAAGCCCGGAGCUCAACUCCGGUUCGCAUCGGAAACUGUGUAGCUUGAGUGCAGAAGAGGAAAGCGGUAUUCCACGUGUAGCGGUGAAAUGCGUAGAGAUGUGGAGGAACACCAGUGGCGAAGGCGGCUUUCUGGUCUGUAACUGACGCUGAGGCGCGAAAGCGUGGGGAGCAAACAG
rnacentral:rRNA from 1 species